rnacentral:rRNA from 1 species
AAUAUCGAUGAAGUGCUUACUGCAUUUUUUCUUACACAUGUGUUUUUCUUUUUUUGAAAACUUUGCUUUGGUAGGCCUUCUAUAUGGGGCCUGCCAGAGAUUAAACUCAACCAAAUUUUAUUUAAUGUCAACCGAUUAUUUAAUAGUCAAAACUUUCAACAACGGAUCUCUUGGUUCUCGCAUCGAUGAAGAACGCAGCGAAAUGCGAUAAGUAAUAUGAAUUGCAGAUAUUCGUGAAUCAUCGAAUCUUUGAACGCACAUUGCGCCCUUUGGUAUUCCAAAGGGCAUGCCUGUUUGAGCGUCAUUUCUCCCUCAAACCCUCGGGUUUGGUGUUGAGCGAUACGCUGGGUUUGCUUGAAAGAAAGGCGGAGUAUAAACUAAUGGAUAGGUUUUUUCCACUCAUUGGUACAAACUCCAAAACUUCUUCCAAAUUCGACCUCAAAUCAGGUAGGACUACCCGCUGAACUUAAGCAUAUCAAUAGCCGGAGGAA